rnacentral:lncRNA from 1 species
CAUGGACAGAUUCGAAUUUACUUAAAUUUUAAGGGCAAUAUGGUCAUUUUCCAUCACCUCAUGGACGAAAAUUAGUCAUUAUAUACAUAUACUUAGCCUCAUAUCCAUCAUUUAUCAUCCAAAUUAUUGAAGAAUAAGAAAUCCUAGCCUAAGUUCAACUCCAAUUAUCUUGUGAUUCAACCGUAGAAAAUCCAAAUUGAUUCCGUAAUUGUGUUCACCGUCUCGAGGGCUUC